CUUUGAUGUCAAGUUUUCCCUGUAAAACUUUAUAAUUUUUAUCUGUUAACAUUCUGCAGGGGUUCAACUUUUUUUUUUGGUACUGGGGAUCGAACUUGGGACCUUGCGCUUGCAAGGCAGGUGCUGGAACCACUGAACUAAAUCCCCGGCCCAGGGAUUCAACUUUUAAGACAACUAUGAUUGAGGCUGCCAAACUCCAAGUGAUCAUGCAGAUAGAACCAACAACCAUGCCAGACUCCUUUUACUGGAAUCCACUAGAUUGACCUUUUAAGUUUGCUACACGACACUUGUUACAAGAAAUGUGGAAGGUAGAGCCGGAAGGAGGUUUUAAGAUCACCUAGUUCAACUCCACAUGGAGAACCAGACUCACAAGCAAACCGAGGUUCUUGUUCAAGCUUGGACAGUUAACUCAGAGUCAACUCCAAUCUGAGCACCAUCUCUCCUGCCUGUUGUGCUAUGUGAUGAAGUACCACACACACUGGAUUGACUUCUGCAAGGGGGCCCACCAGAGCCACACUGAAGAAGUGGAGCACGUGAGGUCAGGCAAGAAUUGUUGGCAAGAGAUUAUGGAAGAGAUCUCAUCUACAGAGGAGGAAGAGAAAAGGACAGAGGGAUGCUUUAUUUCAAAAGAGAUUAAAGAGAUGUAUAAAAUCUGGGAAACAGUGUAAAAUUUUGUAGAAAAGCACCAGCCAAAUAAGGUCUUAGCAGCG
rnacentral:lncRNA from 1 species